UGCCACCGCCGCCAUUACUGUCGCUUCUAUCGCUUGCGCCGUACCGGUUGUCAGACGUUUUCGUGUUUCGUGUGCGUAUUGUAUACAAUGUCGAGAGUGCUAACGUAAUAGCGGACGAUUGUUCCGAUACACAGCGAUCGGACCGAACACAGAUCAUCACAGUGUCGUACGUAGAAGUGAACGUUCUCGUUCGUGAAGCCGGAUAUCGUGGCGUGCUUGCGGUGUAGUUUCGUCAAGUUUUCACGGGCGCAUAUUCACUCGAAUAGAAUGCUUGUAGGCUAUCGUGAAGAUCAAGUGAAAAGCUAAUCGUCGCGCGAUCGUAUUAGGUACGAGAUUUUUAGGUACGAGUCGGGAAUGAGUUUAUUUCAUCUCUAGGUGUGUAUACAUUUUCUUGUCGUUGUCUCGGCCGACGAGUCGUUUGCCAUAUCUGUUGCUGCUUGCUUCUGUGAUUGCCAGCGUUGUCGGAUGUGCCGUAUUUUUCGUGUUUUUCAAGUGUACGUGUAUGCUAUUGAAAGUAGCGAAAGUAACAGUGGACGAUCGUGAUAAGUUAUGGCAUGGUGUGUAAAUUACAUUCGUAAAUUUGUUAGCAUCUAUUGCGUUGCGACAACCUAACCUCUCGUGCGAGUUUCGUAUCUUAUUUGCUGUCGUGUGUGAUAUAUUAUUAAUGUGCAAUUCGAGGAGAAGUGCGAAACGAGAUUUCAAUAAAAUUUUAGCGAGUAGGCGAUAUUCGUGGAGCUAUUCGGAAGAAUCAAAUAGAAAGGGAAUGCAGCAAUAAUAGCAACAGCAACAAUAACAACUGGGGACUAUCCUUCAAUGAUCAGACCUGUUUUUUUACAUGGGGAAGUCCAUCAUGGAUACUCACCUUUCUCGAGGAAGAGGGAAGGGUUAUGCCAGACUCCUAUAACUCCUAUGACAAGAUCAAGGGCAUUGAAAAGAUUCCUCGGGGAGAGAAUUAACGGGAGAAAGCCAACGUUCAUCGUCGCCGAAAUAUUGUGAAAUAAACGAACCGCAGCCGGUUCGUCGCGUCGCGCGUUUUUUUUUUGCGGGAGUGCCGUUUACGUAUUGGACUAAUGAACUUUUCAUAACUCCCAUUCGAUAGACUCCUAAUUCGAGGGCCGGGAAUCGCACCCCCGCUGCUUGGCAGUGAAUAUCCUUACUGGGGCGUUGCGUAUGGUGGACGUGCGCGCCGCACCGCGACGUUCCGUGCCGAAGUGCCCGUGCACGAGGCAAUUCCGGGCCGCAUGUACGACAUGUUCGUGCGCAUGUUGCGCGGCUGUCUGGAUGUGUGAGUUUACACGCUCUGUCUCCGGCGAUCGGUUCGGUCCUAAGCGGUUAGAGUUCGGAUCAGUUGCCUUGGGUUCGCGCGUUUCUCUUGCUCUCGUCCACCAUCCUAAGGCUUUCUUAGAUCCUCGAUACCCUUUUUGGAUUCUUUGGAUCUGGGGUUCGAGCUGGGUGAAUCACGUUUAAUCUGACUUGGUCAGAACUUGGCCUUGUAGGUUAAGCUUGUGACGAGAGGCUGGCUCUCAUUUCCUGAUUCGUCUAAAUGCUAGACGUCGGCAAUGAGUACCUUCUUCUCUCGUCCUGCCGGAGUGUCUUGUCGACGCCGCUUGGAUAUAGGAUCCAGUGGGACUGAUUAAGAUGAUCCGUUGGCUGGGCGUAUGAACGAGUCAAUUUUAGACGUGGUUUUUGUGGAGACAAGAGGCGUAGGAAUUCAAUACCAUUGAUUUCGUUUUCUUCCGCGCGGGGCUUACCCUUGUUCGGGGGCGGGUACGCGUGCGUUCUACUCGCCGACUCGGGGUGCUGAAUCCACGGGAAUCCCUCUGAAUGGGAACUCAGAUCAUGGGUUUUAUAAACUCGAAGUGCCGCAGUGUUUGCGCGAAAGACUUUUGUAGAUAAUUAGUUCACGCGCGUAAAUUUAAUAUAUUAUUCGCGAGUGUUCCGCGUGUGCAACGAGAGGAAGAAGACAAUCUGGAGAAAACUGAGAGGAGGAGGAGGCCUGGGAGAGGCAUCGGGCCCCAACGGAGCAACCUUGGGUAAUCACCGUAGCUUCGUGGCUGAUUACUCCGCUUGUUGCGCAUUGGAAUCUUCGGGGCGUCCAACACGGAGCAUGACAGGAGGAGGAGGAGAAAAAGGAGGAGACUCCGCGGACUCAAAGAGUGAUAAAGUGAGCAACACCAGAGAUUAACGGGGAGAGAUAAUCGCCGUGCAAAGACGAUCGUCGUAAUGUACAGUGUUUUCGCGAGUGUGAGUGCAAGGACGGAAUCUGAGAGGAGGACGAGGCCUGGAGGCAUCAUGUGACGGCGGAGCAACCAUGGGAUCGACGUAGCUACUGUGCAGUUACAACUCCGCUGCUGCGCAUCGUUUCGAGUCUCCGCCUACAUUAACUGUCGCGAACGGAAUGACGCGAAGAGAAUGACUUGCGAUCGCAGAGUAGCUGCUGAAGAUGCCAUUGAUAGCGUCCUGGCGGAGGUGCGCUGGCAUUCAUCACCGUAGGACCUAUCUGCGUGAGUAUCGCGAUUCUCUUCGUUAUAUCGCCAGACGUCUAUGUCUUCAUACGCGCUGCGCGUUGUCCGAUUCGCAUUAGCGUUAUUUAUCGCGAGCGUGAGCCGCAAGGUCGAAGGUGUACGCACGUAACCGCGCACGGUUGUGUUCUUCAUAUUGGAAAAUAAGAAAGAAAGAAAAGAUACGACGUAUGGUGAAGUACAACGUGCCCGCGGCGUGAUUCGCAUGAGGAACCAUACGUGAUCGAGGCGUUUAACCUUGUGUGACCAGAUUUUUUAAUUGCGAUAAUGAAACGCACGCGUUUCGAGCCUCACGCGAUCUAGAGUACUUGGAAGUGCUCCUUCCUUUUACUGCAAAAUUAAAAAUAUCACACCUGGAGAUACAAACUUUCGUAAAUUUCGAAACAACUGUUUGAAUUACAGUUAAAAAUUCACGCUACUGCUGUUCAUAUAGAUAUGUCAGAGAUUGAAUGGACAGUCGGCGGUACGUAUUUUCUAAAAGCGAGGCUGUUCAGGAAAAUUAGGACCUCUGAGCACCUUGCGUUUAACACGAGACUUCUCUCCACCUGCGAUUAUUUCCUCGCCUCCGCCUCCUCCUCCCUCUCCCUUUCCAUGAUCAUAUAGUUAGACGGACAUAUUACGGAGAUCAUUAUAACGCGCGCGCGGUCGAAUUAUUUAGUGGAGUCUCCAUCGGAAUUAGAGGGGCCCGUCAUAGGAAUUCUGUUUUUCUGCUGCCUUCUGGGGAAGGAGGGUGUAUAUAAUCAACAUGUCAAAAUAGUUUCUCGAGUAGAGCCGGUCCUACGCUUCUAAUAUAUAUCGUUUGAAUGAGACGAACGAACACCAGGAAUGUAAAACUGCGCCGCGGGCCCUCGACACGUCAUUUCGAAAAUUAAUCUCCGCAAGAGCUUGCUCCCCCGCCCCCGUUAUAAUGUAUUAUUAUAGAAAAAUUCCGUAUAAUAUAUUAUGUGUGUAAAAAAAGGAACAAAAGAAAAUUUAUGUAUUUACUACAAGUUAACAUGCAUCACUGCAUUAUACAAAAAAGAACAUGUUAAAUUGUAUGAAAAAUAUAUGUAAAAAAAAAACAUUUUUGUUAUUAAUCGAUUCUUGCACUUAUUGUUCAUAUAAUUGUACAUAUUCUUUUUAUAUAAUUGAACCAUUGUAUGAUAAGUAAUUGACAGAUCAUUUUUACGUUGAGAUACUUUCUUAUUUCUUUUCAAUUUUGACAUAAAUUUUUGAAAUUUUUUUUUAAAUUACAGCUUUUAAAAAAUUAAAAAAUAAAUUACAACGCACGUAUUAACUGCAGAAAAAAUCAUUAUAAUUAGGAGAAAAAUUUUGUCGAAACAUUUUGACUUUGAUUCCUUUACCGUCAAUUGAUUUGACACAAAUUUUGCCUCGCUAGAUCUAAAGUUCUUGAAUUUAUUGAAUCUAUUGUCAAAAAAAGAGUUUAAAAAGGUUAAACUGUUUCAAAGAAAUUUUGUAGUAGAAAGACAAAUAAACAUAUGGCCAAACUAAUACUGUGAAAUUAUAAAAUAAUUUUCUAUGCUGCACAACUAAACAAAUACAAAGUAGUCAAGCGAUAACUACGAUACUGUAGUGAAAGGAAUGGAAUUGAGAAGGGGAAAUUGAGAUAGAUAGAGAAAGAGAGAGAGAGAGAGAGAGAGGUGUAUGGGUCAAGGGGCCUCCCGGGGUUAAAUGAAAGGGCGUUGAUUAUGAAUUUUGAAGGAUUCUUUAACCGCAGCGUCUUUAAUUAAACUUAAUUACCGUCAGAAACGCCGUUCGCUACCCUAAACGUCGCUAACUCUCGUCUCUCGGCGUUACAGAACCGUAUGAUUACAGACUAAAACGGUCUCGUCUCGAAUAUACAACAUGUCUCAUUUGAACUCGUUUCUCCUUUUCCUCUGUCUACUCAUCAAAACAAGAGGCAAAGGGAAUAAGAAAGGGUUCAUACUGGAAACGCGCUACGGCAAAAGCAGCUAAAUCAAACAUAUAAACUAAAUAAAUAACUGCAUCUAUAUAUAUAUAUAUAUAUAUAUAUAUAUA